CUGGGGGGUGCUUACACAUGCAAGUCGAACGAUGACGACCGAGCUUGCUCGGUCUGAUUAGUGGCGAACGGGUGAGUAACACGUGAGCAACCUGCCCUUCACUCUGGGAUAACCUCGGGAAAUCGGGGCUAAUACCGGAUAUGAGCUCCUGUCGCAUGGCGGGGGUUGGAAAGUUUUUCGGUGAAGGAUGGGCUCGCGGCCUAUCAGUUUGUUGGUGAGGUAGUGGCUCACCAAGGCGAUGACGGGUAGCCGGCCUGAGAGGGCGACCGGCCACACUGGGACUGAGACACGGCCCAGACUCCUACGGGAGGCAGCAGUGGGGAAUAUUGCACAAUGGGCGAAAGCCUGAUGCAGCGACGCCGCGUGAGGGAUGACGGCCUUCGGGUUGUAAACCUCUUUCAGCAGGGAAGAAGCGAAAGUGACGGUACCUGCAGAAGAAGCGCCGGCUAACUACGUGCCAGCAGCCGCGGUAAUACGUAGGGCGCAAGCGUUGUCCGGAAUUAUUGGGCGUAAAGAGCUUGUAGGUGGCUUGUCGCGUCUGCCGUGAAAACCCGAGGCUCAACCUCGGGCGUGCGGUGGGUACGGGCAGGCUAGAGUGUGGUAGGGGAGACUGGAACUCCUGGUGUAGCGGUGAAAUGCGCAGAUAUCAGGAAGAACACCGAUGGCGAAGGCAGGUCUCUGGGCCAUUACUGACACUGAGAAGCGAAAGCAUGGGGGAGCGAACAGGAUUAGAUACCCUGGUAGUCCCAUGCCGUAAAAC
rnacentral:rRNA from 1 species